AUGACUUUCAACUCUAUUAUCAUUAAUCUAGACCUGAUGGAAAUCCCACUCAAGGGCAGAUCAUUUACAUGGAGCAAUAUGCAAGAAUGCCCCCUACUAGAGAAAUUGGAUUGGAUAUUCACCAGUUCUGAUUAGAUUAAUGAUCAUUCAAACACUUUGGCCUUCCCUUUGGCAAAAAUCUCCUUAGAUCAUGUUCCCAUCAAAAUACAAAUUGACAGCAAUAUCCCUAAAAGCAAUAUCUUCAGGUUUGAAGAAUUCUGGACUCAGUUUGAGGGUUUUAAUGAAACUGUGGAGAAGUACUGGCAUAAUAGCAUGCACUAUGCUGAUUCUACAAAAAACCUGGUGGCAAAAUGUAGCGCCCCGAGACCGAUGUGCCAGGUGUCCUCCAGUUAUUCGCUGUUGUUGCCUUGUCAUUGCUUCCGUGUCAUGCAUUGCAUAUCAUGUCAUCAUGUGCAUUUCAUUUGCAUACAUGUUCAUCUCAUGCAUCCGAGCAUUUUCCCCGUUGUUCGUUUUGCAAUCCGGCGCUCCUAUGUCCUCCGGUGUCCCUUUCUACCUCUUUUCGUGUGCUGGUGUUAA
rnacentral:rRNA from 1 species